rnacentral:rRNA from 1 species
CUAACAAGGAUUCCCCUAGUAACUGCGAGUGAAGCGGGAAGAGCUCAAAUUUUGAAUCUGGCGGUCCUUGCGCCCGUCCGAGUUGUAAUCUAGAGAAGUGUCUUCCGCGCUGGACCGUGUACAAGUCUCCUGGAAGGGAGCGUCAUAGAGGGUGAGAAUCCCGUCUUUGACACGGACUACCAGGGCUAUGUGAUGCGCUCUCGACGAGUCGAGUUGUUUGGGAAUGCAGCUCAAAUCGGGUGGUAAAUUCCAUCUAAAGCUAAAUACAGGCGAGAGACCGAUAGCGAACAAGUACCGUGAGGGAAAGAUGAAAAGAACUUUGGAAAGAGAGUUAAACAGUACGUGAAAUUGCUGAAAGGGAAACGCUUGAUGUCAGUCGCGUCGGCCGGGGAUCAACCUUGCUUGAAUCGCUCGGUGUACUUCCUGGUCGACGGGUCAGCAUCAGUUUCGAUCGCCGUACAAGGGCGGGAGGGAAUGUGGCACUCUUCGGAGUGUGUUAUAGCCUUUCAUCGUAUGCGGUGCUUGGGACUGAGGAACUCAGCACGACCUCUCUGGGGGUUCGGGGCUUCGGCCUACGUUCGCGUGCUUAGGAUGCUGGCAUAAUGGCCUUAAGCGACCCGUCUU